GACGGUACCCGCAGAAGAAGCACCGGCUAAAUACGUGCCAGCAGCCGCGGUAAUACGUAGGGUGCGAGCGUUAUUUGGAAUUACUGGGGGUAAAGCGUGCGCAGGCGGAUUGUUAAGCAAGAUGUGAAAUCCCCGGGCUUAACCCGGGAAAGGCAUUUUGAACUGGCGGUCUAGAGUGCGUCAGAGGGGGGUGGAAUUCCACGUGUAGCGGUGAAAUGUGUAGAGAUGUGGAGGAACACCAAUGGGGAAGGCGGCCCCCUGGGAUGACACUGACGCUCAUGUACGAAAGCGUGGGUAGCAAACACGAUUAG
rnacentral:rRNA from 1 species